GGGAGCCUCCUGAUCCGUGAACCCGCGCUGGCGGGAGUAGCUACUGACCGCUGGGGACCCCUGCCCAGGCUGUUCGCAUGUGGAAAGGAUUCAGGGAGCAGGCGAUGCCCAAAGCGUGGAGACCAGCACUGCUCUCUCCCCAGCGACAGAGUUCAUGAGGCCCCUUGAAUGUCCACAGAGUUCAUGAGGCUCCUUGCCUGGAAUAUCCACGUUUGAAACCUCCCAACACCGAGCCCCAUUUCAAGUAUAACCAGGAGGGAAAAUGGUGCUUGAAAUAAGCAUGCCGCAAAGGAAAACCUGCUUUCUCGAAAUGGGCCCUGGCCGCCCAGGCCCUGACCUCCCCGGCCAGGAUGGAACGUUCCAGAGACCCAUUAGUGCCAAAGGCAAAUGAAAACACACCCUGUGAAAAUGUC
rnacentral:lncRNA from 1 species